rnacentral:rRNA from 1 species
UACGUAGGGAGCAAGCGUUGUCCGGAAUCAUUGGGCGUAAAGCGCGCGUAGGUGGCUUCGUAAGUCCGUUGUGAAAGUCAAAGGCUCAACCUUUGAAAGCCGAUGGAUACUGUGAAGCUAGAGUACGGAAGAGGCGAGUGGAAUUCCUGGUGUAGCGGUGGAAUGCGCAGAUAUCGGGAGGAACACCAAUGGCGAAGGCAGCUCGCUGGGACGUGACUGACGCUGAGACGCGAAAGCGUGGGGAGCAAACAGG